rnacentral:rRNA from 1 species
CCUACGGGUGACAGCAGUCGAGAAUCAUUCACAAUGGGGGAAACCCUGAUGGUGCGACGCCGCGUGGGGGAAUGAAGGUCUUCGGAUUGUAAACCCCUGUCAUGUGGGAGCAAAUUAAAAAGAUAGUACCACAAGAGGAAGAGACGGCUAACUCUGUGCCAGCAGCCGCGGUAAUACAGAGGUCUCAAGCGUUGUUCGGAAUCACUGGGCGUAAGGCGUGCGGAGGCUGUUUCGUAAGUCGUGUGUGAAAGGCGCGGGCUCAACCCGCGGACGGCACAUGAUACUGCGAGACUAGAGUAAUGGAGGGGGAACCGGAAUUCUCGGUGUAGCAGUGAAAUGCGUAGAUAUCGAGAGGAACACUCGUGGCGAAGGCGGGUUCCUGGACAUUAACUGACGCUGAGGCACGAAGGCCAGGGGAGCGAAAGGGAUUAGAUACCCGGGUAGUC